AUCUACCACAGGUUGGAGGCUCGUUUCCGGUAUCUGAUGUCCACACAUUUCCAAGCAAGGAUCCGGAACCAGGCCUCUCUUCCUUGUUUGGCGGCCUCGGCAUCUCUGUGAGCUGUGACCAAAACGCUGGCAUUUAAAACAACGCAGGGGAUUGGGAACAUACGGGCGAACUCGGAGCUUGAUAUACCCGGCCUCGAUGGACUCGGGCAGAACACUUGUGCCAAAAGUAAGUAUCAGAUGUUUGGUCUGUAUUUCCUUAUUAUCACGCCUCAUCUUAAUUCGCUUAACAUUUAUGACAUUCUGCUCA